GAAGCUUCUCAAAAGCUCAGCCACAGCGGAACUAGAGCUUUCUAUCACUUUUCAAAUGAUGUGUACAAGUUUCGCUUUUGCUGUAAACUUGGCCACAGCACUGAUUUUUUUUUUUUUUUUUUCAAUCAGCUGCUUUCGAUUCUCAUGUCCUCCUCCCAGCCAGCACUGCAGCAGCUGCUGAGCAAACAGUGAAGCUUUCUCUGAAGAACAAAAGGCAAAAUUCCAGUUGGUUUACUGGAAUCUCCGAUCUCCCCUUUCUGACUCACCUUUAGCUAUGUCGUGCUGUAUAUAAGCACGCAGGCUGCUUAUGAUGAUGCUCACUGGUGGUUCUCUUGUCGUUGUUUCUCAAGGGCACGCGGCACGCACCUUCUCAAGGUCAACCGUUCGUCUGUGCGAUGGCCCCACGGGCUACCUGUUUACGCACCGCCGAGCCCAGGAGAGGGAGGUUGCCAAGCUGGCUGACUCCGCCGGGACCUGCGUUCAGGGUAAGACGCCCUCGGUUAAUGGAUCACCGUCUCUGUCGCUGUCACGGGUUCGCGGUGCGAGACCGCCUUGUUUUCGAUGCGCGCAGAACGGCGGACCCUGCAAUUUCACAGCGUAGCGCGUGUUACUUAGGAGGCCUGCUAUCCAGCGAAACGGACACUUGAGUCACUCGUAGGGACUCGCUGGCAUCGAAAUCAGACAUUUAAAACGAGCGCAGAUAUUAACAAAGCGGAUAUUGCCACAGGCCAGGUUAAUCUCCACAGAAGCGUUUUCUCAACGCUGCCGAGUUUCGGUCUCCAUAAUAUCGCCAUUCACACCUCUCUUUGAUGCUUCUGCUUUUCUGACUCCAGUUCAGGGUGUUUUGAAGCAAUCUGUCAGCACACCAGUCAAUUUUCAUGAAAGGUGUGUGUGUGAAAUCUGCUGAGCGCUAACCAUUCUGACAUUCUGAUGGCUGUUUUCCCCGAAGCAAGAUCGUAGGGAACGAGCAGAAAAGAUUUAAUAGAGAAUUUGUUUCCUGGUUCAUGUCAUUGAGGUGCUGGGUAGUCAAUGUGUUCCCCAGCCUACAGAACAAAAUUAAAACUUGCUUAAGGACAGGAAGUUGAGUUGCUGCAGUGUCAUUAAAGCUACUUGUGUGUGCUACUUGUAGAUCACUACGGAGACCUCCAUGCGCUUGUUCUUUUCCAGUGAUGAGCUGGCACAGAGCAUGUACCCUAAGACACACAAUCCGAGCAGGUGCCACUUAAAGUCCAAGCAUUUGCAUGGUCAAAACCAGGGCUGCCCAACCCUGUUCCUGGAGAUCUGCUGUAGGUUUUCUUUCUGACCCUAACAAAGCACACCUCAUUCAGCUGCUAGAGAUUUCAUUGAUCUCCUGGAACAGGAAUGGGCAGCCCUGGUCUGAGCAUUCAAAAUGCAGUUUGCAUGUUCUCCACACAUUCACACUUAUACAGCAAAUGUGCUUGUCAGUAUCUCAACUUUGCAUGCGCAGUCCACACUUUUCCAUGCAAUCAAAAAUCUUAUUUGAUGAAGUCACAAUUUGAAUUUGAAAAAUACACUGUCAGAAAAACUGUGAAGCUCUCGCCUAUGAGGGACACAGUUCCAUUUUUUAUUUAUAUUUUUUUGACUGACACACACGCACCCACCCACACACACACACACACACACACGUAGACACACACAGCCGCCCGUCUGUCUCAAGCAUGUUGUCAAGGUUAUCAGAGGGAGCCUGUGCAGUGUUCCACUGCUGAGGAGCUGGAGGCCUUUAAUUAUUGAUGCACCAAAGUUCCACAAAUAGAGCUCGGAUUGAUCUAACGGCUGCCGGGUAAACUGAUACUGAGCCAGAAUGCUGUGUCUGCACUUUGUACUUCCUGGUGGCUUCUGUCUGGGCAGGUCUUUUCCAGUGAUGAGGUAUUAGCAUGUUUGUCUGUUGUACAGGGGGGAAUUUACCGCAACCAUGUCUGUGAUUUGCAAACCAAACCACAGUUGCUUUUCUUUUUUUUCAUGUGCCAAUCAAGACCGGGAGAAGGAUGACCCAUCUGACAUUUUAGGGUUACUGUGUGAUUUUUAAAAAGAGUGUUUUAGAUGACAGUAACUGACUGUUUAAUUCAAGUAAUUAAAAAAUAACUGAAAGAACAACAGGCCUUCAAGAGUGAGAUGAAUGGUAGGACUAUUCCCAAUAACUCAACAUGCUUUCUGGGUCCGUGUAAGGUAUGAUACAAAGGAAACUUUGUGUGAGAAACCUACGCACAACUAUGCUGCCCUCACAUAUGAAAACAGCAACAGGUGAGUUUUAUUGAAGCACACUGUGUGCUUCCGGACACCUUGAGUCUGUGUUGUCAUUUGCAGUCCAAACGUGCAUCCCCUUAUAAAUAGGUAAAGAAUCAAUGGGGGCAGCCUCCUACAUUUUUUAUACGUGCACACAUCUCUGUAUGUCUUUGUCACUUUUGGAAACCUAGGGAUGAAAUGUUCUUCAGGGCUCUCCAUAGCCGGAUAGCUGGAGCAUUAGGAAUAGCAAUGUUCUUUGCGAACAGUCCGAUGACCGCGAAAAAUUAAAUAACCAGUAGUUCUUAUUCAGUACUGCGUCUUGCGUUUCCCUGAAAAGGUAGGGAGGCUGAAAAUGUGUAGGGAGCGCAGUGAACUUUCCAGUGUUGUUGCAGGUGUCAGGAGUGACAUAUAACUAAUUGAAAAGGCCUCCCUUUGACAUCCUGUUGAGCGUGGUAUCUGUAACUUUCUGCAUUUCCCUGUGCCAGGAUGCCAGGCAUUUUCCUGUCGCUGCCGUGAGCACCCAUAUCCGCGCUUUCAGCCUCAGCUGAUAAGGAAACAAAUGAUUGAAUUCGGCGAGAGCGCUCCUUUUCUGUAGCUCCUUUGGUGCCAUUGACAGCUGUGUGAGAGAGAGAGAGCGAGAGAGAGAGAGAGAGAGUAUUCCAGAUCUAUGCUCAGAAAAAUGUCUCAGGAAACUCAAGUGCCUGUACUCCCCGGUUUUUUUUUUGUUUUCAGAGGGGGGCGUGUGUGGAUUCGUCGGUUAGCGGAUUACGCGCUCGUCAGGUCCCGGCCCACUUUCGCUUUAAGACGACCCGGCGUGAGGAGAGCGGCGCUCGGGAGCGAGGCGUGACUGCUGUACACAGCGCCGGGCUUCACGCCGUCUGGGAGCGCAGCGGAGCUCGUCCAGCGAGAGGUUAAUUGUGAGCGCGUGCGCUUCCUUCUCAGCGCCCUGCCAAUCAGACGGGGAGAGAGAGAGAGAGAGAGAGAAAGUGAGAGAGGAGAGGAGGAGAGCUCCUUCCAGGCUUCUCUACUGCUGUGCACAGGACAACAGCGGUUCGGUUCCUGCUGCCUUUCGCCAGAAGUCCUCCUGGGAAGCUGCUGCUUCAGCUCUUUGGAAGAUACCGACACAGCGGCUGCCCUUCCUGUCACCUGUGACAUCACAGUGCUGAGAGGCUUUUAAAAUGAUUGGCUGGAGUCACUCCUCAGAGGCCCCUGCAAGGUCCGAGUCAAUCACUGUGUUAAGUGCAGCCUGACAAAUGGGCAGGUAAUGGCCGCAGAACACAAGGGUAAGUUAUCCGAUGCCCUUUUAAGGAAACAGUCCUGACUGAUUGACUUUAGGUGGUCCAUUUAUUCUUAGUCUUGAAAUUGACCUUUCUCAGGGACUGGGUGGUUUUUAAAACAUAAAGAAAUCCAUGUAAUUAACAACCUAACUUCAAAUAAUUUCCUUUGCAUAAAUUCUCUGAUUUUCUUUCUUAACAGUAGCUGAAAGGCAGCCGAUGGCAGUUCAGUGCCUGUACACAUGACGGACAUUCCACAGACAGAACGUCAGAGGAAUGCCCGCGGUGGGUCUGCUUAACGCAUGGAUACACCUCACCGGGCCCCCAAGACCCAUGGAGGGGCCACAGGGGGCCCACAGCGGGGGGGGCAGGAGGGAGGAGAAGACCCAGGCACCCUGUGGGUGUUUCUGUGGCAGUGUCUUAGCUGGUUGUUGUGAGGAGUGAGAAAGAAGCAAUCAGCAAGUAUACUGCCGCAGAAACUCUUCACCCUGUGAUGCCCCACCCCUUCCCCCCUGAGGCCACCGCCCCCCACAUCUGAGACCAUUGGCUGAGCUAGUUGGAAUGACAGGUGGGUAGUUGUUCUCUGACUGGCAACUGCAUCCACGUAGAGAUGUUGGUGCUCAGACAGUGUCAUUAGGCCCUUAGUGAUGCAUGUGAAUGAAAUCACUCUGAUUUAUGAAGGCAACACCGCCAAGGCUGUGCUUUCACACUUUCAGAUCCGUUAAUGGCUGUUAUAUGGAUGCAAUUCACUAUUGGCAUUUAUUGUACCUGAAGGUGUUUUUUCUCUCUCUAAAAUAAAAAUAUUGCUUGUUAUAAA